rnacentral:rRNA from 1 species
CUGGGUCACCUCCCACCCAUGUUUAUUGUACCUUGUUGCUUCGGCGGGCCCGCCUUUGUGGCCGCCGGGGGGCUCUGCCCCCGGGCCCGCGCCCGCCGAAGACACCUAGAACUCUGUCUGAAGAUUGCAGUCUGAGUGAAAAUAUAAAUUAUUUAAAACUUUCAACAACGGAUCUCUUGGUUCCGGCAUCGAUGAAGAACGCAGCGAAAUGCGAUAACGUAAUGUGAAUUGCAGAAUUCAGUGAAUCAUCGAGUCUUUGAACGCACAUUGCGCCCUCUGGUAUUCCGGAGGGCAUGCCUGUCCGAGCGUCAUUGCUGCCCUCAAGCACGGCUUGUGUGUUGGGCCCCGUCCUCCGCUCCCGGGGGACGGGCCCGAAAGGCAGCGGCGGCACCGCGUCCGGUCCUCGAGCGUAUGGGGCUUUGUCACCCGCUCUGUAGGCCCGGCCGGCGCUUGCCGAUCAACCAAA